rnacentral:rRNA from 1 species
AUACGGAGGGUCCAAGCGUUAUCUGGAAUCAUUGGGUUUAAAGGGUCCGCAGGCGGUCAAUUAAGUCAGAGGUGAAAGCCCAUCGCUCAACGAUGGAACUGCCUUUGAUACUGGUUGACUUGAGUUAUACGGAAGUAGAUAGAAUAAGUAGUGUAGCGGUGAAAUGCAUAGAUAUUACUUAGAAUACCGAUUGCGAAGGCAGUCUACUACGUAUAUACUGACGCUGAGGGACGAAAGCGUGGGGAGCGAACAGGAUUAGAAACCCUAGUAGUCC